rnacentral:lncRNA from 1 species
AUCAAACAGCGGUUUCUGAGCAUGUUUUUCAUGUGGCUAUGCAAAUAGAGCUGCCCAUCUUGACAGGUCAUUUUGUAAAGUCAAAUCUACAGAUGUAUAAUAUUGGGUAGGCACAGAGGCAAUUUAUCAUGUGAUAGAAAGAGUAAAUUGGGAAUUCAUUCAAAUAGGUUUGAAAGGCAAAAUGAAUGUGUAAAUACAUUUGGCCUUUGCCUGCAACAGGUGUCACCUACCACAUUGCACAGCCAUUUUGUAGCUCAUGUAUAAUUUCUUUUUUGCAGGACUACCACAACUGGAUGAUAAGGAAGGAAGAAACACAGUUCACAGACGAAUGAGAUCAAUAGGUUGGCAUGAGUGGAAAAUGGGUUACUUCUGCAAAAAGGCCCAGCACGCAACAAGAUGGAGAGAAGAGCUGUAGCCCUUUGGGGACCUCCGACCUAGGGGCUUCCUGAGCCACGGCUGUAACUCCCUUUUUGGGGCUCUGCAGUUUCUGGCGUCUGCAAGUUUCUGGUCACUACUGCAGUCCCCAAAUCUAGAUGCUGGCGCCUGCAGCAGAAGCCACUUUUGGUAUGUUUGGUCAAGCUGCAGUCUUGCACAGAGCUGGUGAAGCGGUUUCAAUGAAAGCCAACAUAAGAAUAAACAUAGAUAGAUUGAACCAACAGUGGGCUUUUUUGGUUUAAACUUGGGCCUGGGAGCAAAUGCAAGUGAUAAAGUCAUUAUGAAAGUGGGUUUAAAUGAUUACACAUUAAAAAUUUAAUUUUGAAAUGUAUAAGCUAAUAAAUUUGGAAAUGGACGGCCACUUGAAGAUGUAUACCCAUCAUGUAUAUUUUAGCAUGAAGCUAAAUUAAGCAUGAAGCUCUGGUUCCAUGACUUCUGGAAGGCAAUGGCCAGUCUCAGACUUAAGGAUUAACAGGUAUGUGAAUUUUAAAUAUAUUAAAUCAUAUAUAACUUCUGGAAAAUAUAUGAACAAUAGAGACUCAGAUGUAGCUACUUAAGAAUUUCUAAAUAUGAGGUUUUAUUUGCUCUGUAGAGGAAGAGUUUAAGUAACUGACCAUCAUUAUCACUAUUUUUUGUAUCACUAGCUAAAUGUAGCCAUGGUGCCAAAUUAAGGGACAGCAAGCACACAAACCUGGAAUUAAAAUGACACCUUGAUGCUUGAUGUUAAGUUCCAACAUAUAUUAGAGACCAGAUGACAUUUUCAUAGAAGCUUGCAAAUUUUCCAAAUUAGUGGUGCCUAAGUAUAAUGUUGUUCUUGUUUUCACCAUUACAAAUGAGUCCUUCAUGUUAAAGUAACAUGCCCAAGAUUUUUGCUAUUAAUUGUUUGUUAGAGAUGAUGGUUGAGACAUGGUACAAAAAUUUUCUGCAAAAAGGUUGGUUAUUUCUUUAAAAAUAAGAAAAUUGUAUGCACUUUCUAGAUGAAAUUCACAUACAAUAAAAUGCCCACUUUUUUUGUCAGUGUACUUUUUAAUGAUUCAUUACAAAUGUGUGUGUAAUGAAUUACACAAAAGAUGUACAAUAUUUUCAUUGCUUCAGAAAAUUUUUUCUGGGCCCUUUGAAGUACUCUGUCUUCCAUGUUCCAGGCAACUAAAUAUUUUGUCAUCAUAAUAUUUUUCCCUCUAGAAUUCCAUAUCAAUGCUAUGGAAGUCCAAAUUUGAAUUCAGAAUUUCAAAUUCAAUUUCAAUUCAAA